rnacentral:sRNA from 1 species
UUGUGCCUUUAUUCUGUGCUGGACGCCAAACUUCCUUGUCAUUCUCUACUAUUGGUUAGCCAAAGACUCAGCCUCUCAGAUGGACAGUAAAACUAAACGUAUACUUUUAAUCUUCGCCGUCUCCAAUUCCUGUUUAGACCCUCUCAUCUAUGGGAUGUUCACCACCUCAUUUCAAAGGAAGUUCAAAAAGUGGAAAGAAUAUGUCUAUCAAAUAUUUACUCCUUGAACUGUCCAACCAAGAACGUGUUUGAACUUCUCCUCGAAAACAACAAGCCAGGUUGCAGUGAUAUGGGUCAGGUCUCUUGCAGAUCUUUAGCAACAGAAAACUCAACACUAAUCAAUGAGCACAAUUUAGAAGAUCCUUUUAAUGAUUGUGGUAUGAAAAAAAAUUUAUCUGA